CCUACGGGAGGCAGCAGUGAGGAAUAUUGGUCAAUGGACGAGAGUCUGAACCAGCCAAGUAGCGUGAAGGAUGACUGCCCUAUGGGUUGUAAACUUCUUUUAUAUGGGAAUAAAAUGUUCCACGUGUGGGAUUUUGUAUGUACCAUAUGAAUAAGGAUCGGCUAACUCCGUGCCAGCAGCCGCGGUAAUACGGAGGAUCCGAGCGUUAUCCGGAUUUAUUGGGUUUAAAGGGAGCGUAGGUGGAUUGUUAAGUCAGUUGUGAAAGUUUGCGGCUUAACCGUAAAAUUGCAGUUGAAACUGGCAGUCUUGAGUACAGUAGAGGUAGGCGGAAUUCGUGGUGUAGCGGUGAAAUGCUUAGAUAUAACGAAGAACUCCGAUUGCGAAGGCAGCUCACUGGACUGCAACUGACACUGAGGCUCGAAAGUGUGGGUAGCAAACAGGAUUAGAUACCCGAGUAGUC
rnacentral:rRNA from 1 species